rnacentral:lncRNA from 1 species
AUGUGCCAAAAAAGAGCAAUUAAAGUGCAUUAUAUAUAUUUUGGUAGUCUUAUGGCAAUUCUUAUUGUUAGAGAGAAUUUUCCCUAUUGUUCACUUGUGUCCCAUUCUUUGUUUUUUUUGGGACUCCACGGACUAUACCUGUCCAUGAUGUUUUCUUGGCAAAGAUACUGGAAUGGUUUACCAUUGCCUUCUCCAGGGGAUCCUUCUGUCAGGCUUCAUCUGCUGAAUAAUCUCUGUGAGUUAUGCAUCGAUCUGCAUUCUCUCCUUACUGUCAGAUGGAAAAUAGCUAAAUUCUUACAAACGGGGUUUCUUGCAACUCCCUGAAGGCAAUGGGACUCCCAAUCAACAAGCUACAAAUUCUCUUGAGAAUGAAGCCUGAGGUUAGUUUCUGAAAUCAAAUGGGCACACAGUAUUUCCACUUGCUUCCUUUG